AGUGAACGCUGGCGGUAGGCCUAACACAUGCAAGUCGAACGGCAGCACAGUAAGAGCUUGCUCUUACGGGUGGCGAGUGGCGGACGGGUGAGGAAUACAUCGGAAUCUACUUUUUCGUGGGGGAUAACGUAGGGAAACUUACGCUAAUACCGCAUACGACCUACGGGUGAAAGCAGGGGAUCUUCGGACCUUGCGCGAUUGAAUGAGCCGAUGUCGGAUUAGCUAGUUGGCGGGGUAAAGGCCCACCAAGGCGACGAUCCGUAGCUGGUCUGAGAGGAUGAUCAGCCACACUGGAACUGAGACACGGUCCAGACUCCUACGGGAGGCAGAAGUGGGGAAUAUUGGACAAUGGGCGCAAGCCUGAUCCAGCCAUACCGCGUGGGUGAAGAAGGCCUUCGGGUUGUAAAGCCCUUUUGUUGGGAAAGAAAGGCAGCAGGUUAAUACCCCGCUGUUCUGACGGUACCCAAAGAAUAAGCACCGGCUAACUUCGUG
rnacentral:rRNA from 1 species